GUGAGACUGGUGACUUGGGGCAACGGCAGGACAUUCCAUUGGGGUUUAAAUAAGCAGGCUCGGAAUGUUCCAGAGCUGGGAGAGUGGUGAGAACUGGAGGUCCUGAACCAAGAGUUACCUCGGGGAAUUUCCCAUCUCUGUGAAGUGCUGUGACAGGUUGACUCCGUCUCUCCGGGGGAGCGUCCUCCUCAGGGACGGCACAGUGAGCCACCCUGACCCUCUCCGUCACCUCUUUGUGCAGGGUCAGGUGUAGGGUCAGUGGAGGAUGAGGGCCUGGCCGUCACCACCUCUCUGCCCACGCCCGUUUUUGCAGGGGGGAUCUGCCUGGUGGGUGUUCUGUUUCUCCUCCCUCUUGAAUUCCAGGAAGUCUGUUUAUGUCAAUCAGCACAUGCCUGAGCAUUGGCCAGCCCCGAGGAAGCCAGGAAUGCCCCCAGGUAUUUCCUUCAUGAGAGCUUGGGUCCAGCAUUCCUCUUGGCUUUCCAGUCUCCAUAGUGGGAAAGCUCCCCAACGUGAAACCCAAGUCCUUCUCUUCGCUCUGUGAGAUGUCAAGAAACCAGAGGCUGGUGUCCAUCCUGUUGAUGUGGCAGGAGGCCUUCACAAAUGCUGGACAGAUGGCUGGUGUCCAUGUAUAUGGAGGAGCAACUCUUAGACUGUUUGUAGAAGCUCCCUGACUUCACGAGGACUGACCGGAUCCUCGUCUGUGAUUCCAACUAAUUCAACUCCUGAUUGUCCACAUGUGUUUGUCCAUCGGGGCCAUAUGGGCAUCUGCUCGCCACCUGGCCAUCUGUGUGAUGAGUACCCAAUUAUGACCGCAGCAGCUGCCUGUCCCCACGGUGACCCAGCUGCAACUGGCCGUUAACAGGCAAUGGGCCUCUCUCAAUUCUGCUAUGAUUACGAGAGGCUGAGAGCUGGGGAAAUGUUUCCACGAAGGAUUUGGGGUAACAUUUCACAAUAUUGGAUCAUUUGCAAUGUCCUUGAUGAAGUAGGCUCCCAGGUCUCUGUGAAAUGCUGGAAAAAUUACUCGGGUCCUGGGGCCAAAACAGCAUUUUCUGUCUGAGAGAGGAAGCUGUUGGCUCCAUUUCCCUGGAACCUCAAAAUGGAGCCUCUUCCUCAUGUUCUAAAGUCUGGCCCUCAAAGGGGACAGGAGAGAAUAAGAAUCCACUCCUGUAUUUCCUACUAUUUAGUGCUCAGAAAUAUUUAUUUCAGGUGAGAAUGAGUGAAGUCCUAGUGUGAACUUCGGGACCAAGGGCACAUUUCCUCAUGGCCUGUAUUUCCAAUCUCUCCUGUUCUUUCUAAUUCCCUCUGCCAUCUGCAAAGUGCCACUAAAAGGUAAACUGAAGCAUGCUAAGAUUUUCAAGGGUUUAUUUGAGCAAACAUGGAUUUGAAUCUGGUGUUGUCAAAGUGGUUGGGAGCCCCCUCCCGCCCCCUCCCCCCCACCCCCGACAGGAACCGGGGGCAGGUUUCUACAGAGAAGACACGGAAGCAAAGCCAGGACAGGAUUUGGUUGGCCGCAGCUUAAGCAGCUGCUGUAUCUGGGAAAGCCUAGUUGGCUGUUGUGGUUGGGACCAUAUAUGGUCGUAGACUUACAUAAGAAAAGAUUCGUUAUAGGAAUAGGCUCACUCUGUUAUGGGGGCUGGGGGUCCCACGAUCUGCCAACUGCAAGCUGGAGGCCCAGGGAAGCUGGCGAUGUCAUUUAGCCUGAGUCUGGAGGUCUGAGAACCAGGGGGGCCAAUGGUGUGAGUUCUAGUCCAGGUCCAAAGGCCAGAGAACCAGGAGUGCUGACGUCCGAGGGCAGGAGAAGAUGCGUGUCCCGGCUUCAGCACAAAGAGCUCAUUUGCCCUUCCUGUGCCUUGUGUUCUCUGCAGGCCCUCAGCGGACAGGAUGAUGCCCACCUGAAUUGGAGGGAGCCGUAUUCUUUGCUCAGUCUAUUGAAUCAAAUGCUAACCUCUUCCAGAAACACCCACACAGACACAGACAUAAUAUUUUACCAGCUAUCUGGGCAUCCCUGAGUCCCGUCAAGUCGGCACAUAAAAUGAACCAUCACAGAUGCGAACCUCCUUAGCAGUGUAUUUCAAAUGGGGGCGGGGAGUCCAUCAAUCAAAAUGCAGAUUCCCAGGCCUCACUUGGAUGCCACGGAUCAGAACUGUGGGAGACGUGGCGCUCUAAUACGUGGUUCUCACCAGCAUCUCAGGGGAUUGUCAUGCAGCUGAAGUUUGAGAUGCCCGUGCCUUAGAAAUGAUGCCGGUCUAAUGGUGCCCUCUCCCGGCAGUGGGGAAGCUGAAGUUGGGAGAGAUGUUGAGCGUGGCUUGGUCACAGGCAGGCACAGCACUGCUGAGCCAUGUCUGGGAGGGCACUGAGAACUCUCUGAGGAGGCUUCUCAAACCCGCUGUGCAUUGGUAGAACCCAUGCAGCUUUGAAAAGCUGCUCGUGCCUGGGCUCCGCCCCAGAGGUUCGGGAUUUGUUGAUCUGGGAUGGGUCCAGGCAUGGUGCGCUGUGAAAGUCUUCCCGUGCUAUUAAUGGUGUGCGGUGUUGAGAACAGCAGGUCUCAGCGUCAGGUUUUGGAGGCAGAGAUGGAGGCAGGUGGUGUGCUUGGUAUUAUGGUGCUCGCAGCAUCACAAGAUUCACUGUCCUUCGGGGUGCCGGGAGGACUGUACUUCCCCAUCCCUGUGAAAUUAGGCUUGGCCAUGGGACCAGUUCUGGCCAAUGGAUUGGCAGAAGUGAUGCCACUUCUGGGGGGGGGGGGCGGAAUAUAGGUGCUGAUGUGAGUGGCCCCUGCUGUCCUGUGACCACACUGGACCUGUGGUGUGAGUGAGAAAGACGUCUCGUUUGCAGUUGCUGAGGUCCUGUUUGUCUCUGGGUUAUACCCUGACCUCGCCUGACAGACACACCUGGUUUCAUAAAAAGUUAGUAAAGCUAACGAUAGUUCUGCAUCCUAAAUGCCUUCUCCAUUGCCUUAAUAGAAUAAAUAAACUCUUUUCUUUUUUCCUCCUGUUUUGUUGUUGAAAUCCCGUUGAAAGAUGGAGCCAGGCUUUUGAUGCUAAAAUGUUUCCCAUUGCUUAGUCAAGGCUGUGUAUUCAGUUCAUGGAACUUGCUUAUUCAGUUUGUCCUGAGGAGACGAGUGUUAUGUCAGGCAAAAAAUCCUAAAUGAUUAGAGCAAAUGGUGGUCUUUUCUCACUGAGAAAAAUGUCUGCAGAAAAUUGAUUGAUCUUGACUGAUAUGUGUGCCGGAGCUCUGUUCUUUUGACUUUUACAAGGGAAAUCUCAAGUUAGGGAAAAGGAAGAAAACAUACCACUUGCUUUAAAAUGCAUUUUUUUCAGGAGAAAAUUUAGCAGCUGUGAUGGUUAUGCUGCUUUUGGUAAGAAUGUUUUCCAAUGUAUAAUACAUUAGACUUACCACAAGCCUCCUGCCAGGGUGAAGCUUGCACUAAGCAAGUGGCGACUCUUCCUGGAUUGAAUUCUUGGCUGGAGGGAUGGUUAGGCUUGGGGAAGACAUGGAGAAUGAUAGGUGAAUAGAAAAGAGUUUAUUGAGUUCAGGUGUCCUGACAUUUGCAUUUUGUGAAAUUUCUGUUCAUGCUUCAGGGAGAAAUAAUUUAAAAAUACUAGUAAGAGUAGGCAGCCUUUACAAAAAUUCAAUACAUGUUUUAAAAUUAUUUUUCUGGCUCUGAACUGCUAUUUAGGGCUGAAUUAUUAUAUGGCUCUUUUUCAAAAUUCACUUGACAAUGGGCAAUUUGAUUUUUCUGAAAUAUUUUAUCUACAGAUAGGAAGCUUGUAGAUACUGAAAACCUCUGAGAAUCUGGGAAGAGAGAAUGAGACUGACUUGCUCCUGGCUUUAGCCCCAGUUAGAGAAGCGUCUGGGUUGUGCUAUUAUGUGUUCCAGAGGUGCUUCCAUGUCUGGGGCAGCAUGAUCCUGAAUGAGAAGGGACCCGAAAGGGCCUGGAGCACCUGCCCUUUAUGUUUGCAUGUUAUCUGCCCAGCCCAGCAGGUGCCUUCCUCCUCGGGGAGCUCACAAAGCAGACAGAGCUGUUUCUGAUAAGAUCCCUGGGAAGAUGUUCACAAGGGCACGAAGUUGCGCCUAUGAAGGGGGCUGGUUUUUCCAAUCAGCACUGUAGUAAGAACGGGCUGGCACAUUCACCCUGGGCCCGACCUCCCUGGGAGCAGGCUUGGGUGGUAGAGACUAGACGGGCCACAGCCACCUGGAAACUUCUGUCCGAUUGCUUCUCUCUCUUCCUCCUAGGACCAUUCUCUCUGGGAGAAGGUAAGCAGUGUGCAAGAGGGAAGAACAGCUAGUCAGACACUUGUCCUGGAAAAAGAAUGGAACCAGGCUGAGGAUGUAGAUUCUCUCACUGGCUGGCCUUUGGGGUGGGGACCACCGUGGCCUCUGGAUCAAUUUGGAAUCUCUGGGCUCCGGGAGACUCAGGUGAAAUCCUGCUUCCCUCCCUUGGGCUGUGUUCCCCCUGACUGCUUUGAGCUACUAGUAUCUUGGUGAAAGCCGUGGGCAUACUAAUCAAUGGGGGUUUUAAUGCUGUGGGGUUAAAAAUAAGCGGAUGCAGCUGGUAUGUUGUUUUAGGCUCAUGGCCAGGCAGGGUCCCAAGUCCUCUUCAUGGGGAGGGGGUCCAAAGGUGAGGGAGCAGACCCACUCCAAUGGGGGAAGGAGCCAGAGCUCCCCUCCAUGAGGCCUCCCCCAGUCUCUCCUUCCUCCUCCUCUGUGGGAAAAUGGAGGGAAGGAUCCGAGCGGGGAGAGGUGGGACAGUGGGAGGAGGAUGAUGUGGGAGGGGGAGAGGAGGUGGUGUACGGAGGGGUAGGACUCUCCAGACCACAGCUUGUUUGAUGGAUUUUGGCGAAGCCUGGGCGCUCGGCUCUGCCGGUGCCUUUUGGGCAGCACCAGCGCUGAGGAAUCACCUUAUUUACAGUCCUGAGGCAUCUGCCUUCUCUUCCUGGGUAAGUAGACUUCUAAGAUGUCAGGGCAAACCCACAGUCCCUCUCGCCGUGAACCAAGCUCCACCUCCUUGCUUGGCCUCUGGAGAAACGUGAGGAGCUCUGUUCACCGUGCAAAGUGCUGCCAUUGCGUUGGUGCUCAGGGUCCUUGUCACACAGCGGCUUCUCUGUGUGCUCCUUGAACAGAAGCCAACCUGCUGGCCUGUAAAACAGUGGAAAGGCAUUGCUCUCCAACCACACUGGGAAAAAUGCCCUUUAAAGAAAACCAUCUUCUAAGGGCCUCACAAAAUGACACAUUGUAAUAGGAAUAACGUGUGGAAAAUGGCCUGUUUUCUCUUCUGGUUGCUGUUCUCUUCAACAGCUGUUUAAUUGUAUUGGUCAUGUUGUUCACUAGCUUUGGAAGAUGAAAAGCCUGCAAGUGUUUGCUGAAAUCAAGGCUCCAAUGUCAAUUAUUUCCAUUUUCAGUUUCAAUGCAGCAUUUAUUCUUAUGUGUGAACGGCAGCACCGCUUUCUGCUCUUGGCUGGGGGAGGCACACGGCAGGUGGGGAGAUCACUCUGACCCACGGUGGACUCAGCUGCAUCAGAACCAUCAGCAACUCAAAUAGCAGAGCUCCCUUGAACCCCACGCUUCACACAUGUAUCUGGAAUGACGAUGGGGGUUUUGUACAAAAGCAACCCUCAGGAGCAGGAUGUAAUUUCCUCAAAGUAGUCAUUCGAGCCAUCAUAGCUCAGGAAUAUGAGAACAGGAAGGUUUUGUGGACAUAGACAAGACAAUGAAGGAAAUGAAACACUAUGGGGCCGACGUUCCCAGGUCCUGGUGGGGUUCCGGAUCCUUCUGGAAGGAGGGCUCCUUUGCAUGUUGUGAGCAGUGGGCUUUGCUGGUGGGGGAGGCCAGGACUUGGCUGCUCUCCUUUCCAGUGCCCGACCACCAACAGGCUCCACCCAGGAGGCAGUCAUAUCGCCACACCAUUGUCACAGGGGCUGGGGUACCGAAAGUGGUCAAGGUAACCGGCUGCUGGUGUUUUAUGUAUGUGGAAAGUUUAUAGAACUCAUUUCCCAAUUGUUUAUUUUGGUAAAAAUGUUGACUUGGGGGCUGGCCCCGUGGCCGAGUGGUUAAGUUCGCGCACUCCGCUGCAGGCGGCCCAGUGUUUCGUCAGUUCGAAUCCUGGGCGCGGACAUGGCACUGCUCAUCAGACCACGCUGAGGCAGUGUCCCACAUGCCACAACUAGAAGAACCCACAACGAAGAAUACACAACUAUGUACCGGGGGGCUUUGGGGAGAAAAAGGAAAAAAUAAAAUCUUUAAAAAAAAA
ensembl:lncRNA